rnacentral:misc_RNA from 1 species
GCUUGCUUCACCCUCCCCGUCGAAAAGAUCUUGAAGGACUUCUUAUUAUGGGUUGAGCAAGAUCUUGGGCCUUGGGGACCGCUUGUGCUGGCUGUUGCAUACAUUCCUCUAACGGUCUUGGCGGUUCCAGCAUCGGUGCUUACUCUUGGUGGUGGAUAUCUCUUUGGGUUACCCGUGGGCUUUGUUGCUGAUUCUGUUGGUGCCACAAUUGGUGCUGGGUCUGCUUUUCUUCUUGGAAGAACAAUUGGUAGAUCUUUUGUUGUUUCCAAGUUGAAGGAUUAUCCACAGUUUAGGUCAGUUGCAAUUGCAAUUCAGAAAUCUGGCUUUAAGAUAGUUCUUCUGCUUCGACUUGUUCCCUUGCUUCCUUUUAACAUGUUGAAUUACCUGCUGUCUGUGACACCUGUUCCAUUAGGGGAAUACAUGCUGGCUUCCUGGAUAGGAAUGAUGCCAAUAACUCUUGCAUUAGUGUAUGUUGGAACAACUCUAAAAGAUCUUUCUGAUGUGACCCAUGGAUGGAGUGAGUUUUCAACUACGCGUUGGUUGUGCAUCAUAUUGGGCCUUGUUGUAUCUGUGGUGCUAAUUUUGUGUGUUACUAAAGUUGCCAAGUCUGCUUUGGAAAAAGCUUUGGCUGAGAAUGAGGAUAUAGAUAGCAUUUUGGCUUCUCCUCAGUUACCUAUUGUGGCUGAUCCUCCUGUUGAUCUGAGCCAGCCUCUCAUAAUCAAGAUAGACACAUCUGAAGAUGAUCAUGAAAAAUGAAUCUCAUAUUUUAUGGAAAUUGUUUCCCU